GAGAGCACGUCCAACACGUGAGACGCUGACGCAAGGAUAUUUAAGGAGACAUGGAGGUUUACAGACAACAGACAACAAACAAUAUGGCGCACCGAGUACAGUAUGCCUGGUAUUUUGCCAUGGAGGCCAGCUUUGACUUCAGCAUUCAUGACAUGUCUCUCCUGAGAAGGUGGUGGUGUGUUAUCCUGGUGGAAAACUUUGGACUGGAAGGGUAUGCUGCAGUGCUACAAAAACAUUUGAAUUUGUAAUUGUAUUAUCAAGAAGAUUUGGGGGGAACACCUGGCUCUAAAAUUCAACCUUCUGGUGAAGAAAAUGUGUCUUAAUUGCAGGUAUGGAAAGAGGUUUGCUCACUAUAGUGAGGAAGGCAGGGCGACCCAAUGUCCCACCUACAUUCAGGAUCAGUCGUAAAAGGACGCAUGCAAGCAGCACCAUG